rnacentral:tRNA from 1 species
UCCCUGGUGGCUCAGUCAGUAAAGAAUCUGCCUCCAGUGCAGGAGACCGGGGUUCCAUCCCUGGCCUGGGAA